GGCUCGAACCGGGAUCCUUGAGCCGGUCUUUGCGCUUUGCGCCAUGUGCACUGAACCCGCUGUGCUACCGCCCGACCCCUCCCCCUUCAUUUUGUUAAUGUAUAUUGUUGGAUUUGAGGAUGUUGGACCACCCUUGUAUCCUUAGAGACCAAUUCCCAUUAGGUCAUGGUGUGUGAUUCUUUUGCUGUGCAGUCGAACUUGGUUCGCGGAUGUUCUGUUGAGGAUUUCUGUAUUUAUGUUCAUCAGAAGUAUUGGCCUGUAAUCUUUUUACUGCUUUGAUUUUCAACGUCAGGCUAAGUGACCCUGCCUCUAGAAUUUCUUCUGGUAGAGUUUCAAAGGAUUUAGAGUCUUGAAAUGUUUACUAUUAGUCACUGGUGAAGCCAUCUGGGCCUGGGCUUUUGUUGUUGGGAGGUGAUUUUUUUUUUAGUAGUGAUUUAAUAAUGAUCAACAAGAUUGUGGGAUAAGAAGGGUACAGUUCCGUACACUUCCCACCACCAGAGUUCUAUCUCCUCUUUCUUCCCACUGGAAGGGUCCUUAGUCUUUAUCCCUCUGGGAGUGUGGACCAAAGGUCUUUAUGGGGAGCCGACGGUGGGAGGUCUGGCUUCUGUAAUUGCUUCUCCACUGGACAUGGGCACUGUCCUAUCCCCAGCCUGUUUCUGUCUUUCCCUAGUGGGGCAGGGCUCUGGAGAGGUGGGAUUCAAGGACACAUUGGUAUGGUCGUCUGCCCAGGGAAGUCAGGUUGGCAUCAUGGUAGCAUCUGCAGCUUGGUGACUGAAAGGCAUUGAGAUAUAAAACAGAACAAAUGGCUUAAUAAUCAGGAAUCUAAAGGUAAGAAUAGAGCAGAUAUGUUGUGGGUAUGUUCCUGGGGCCCCAUGACUUUACUAAUUUUUGCCUGAGCCCCACAGAUAACAUAUUAGUGGGCUGAAAGUAUUGUCUAGGAAGAGUGUCAAAGAUGGGAUUAGGACUAGAAAGCUGGAUCAGGACAGAGAGUAGCUCCCAAAUAUAGAAAAAGUAUCUAAAUACUGUUAACUGUAAACCCCAUCGAUCUGACCUCAAGCCCAUGUCUACUCAUAUUCAGCACAGGAGCCUGAGUAACCUCUGUACCCCUACUGGCCUGAGCUUGCAGUCCAUGGUCUUAGGUAGGAACGGUCUAGGCUGCAUUCAUUGCAGGGCCAGUCUUCCUUGAGUGGCGGAGUGUGUUGGUCCAGCCUCCCUCUGGAGAGUGGGGCAGUUUCGACCAUUGUUGUUCUACAUUGAGAGCAAGGUCCUGGAGAGGCCCACAAGAGGGUUUAUGAUGUUCCUGAUGGAGAUGCCCAGUGAUAGUGGGGAGAGGGAUCUUUUAGAGGUCUGGGCCCAUCAUAUCUAUGUGGGAAUCCCAAGAUUCCCUAACUAGGGCCCUGGAUGAUGAGGUGGCCUGGUAGUGACCAAAAGGGCCAUCAUUAGAAUGUGCUGGUCUCUUGCCCUUAACCAGCUUUUGUAGUCCUUACUGUAUCUGACAAGGGUAGCCUGAGAGUGGUUGAGGGAAGUGAAAUAGGAAGUGGGUGAGGCGGGCAUCUUGGUCAGUUAGAAAAUAUCCAAUUAAGUACUUUAUGGUGUCUUUUUUAGGUCUUUCUACUUGCUUGCUGCACUUAUUGAGUCACUAUAGACUAUUGCACACUUUUACUUUAGGGUAUAUAUUUUCCUCUAACUUGUGGAAACAUGUGCUCUGUCUCAUGGGCCUGGCCUAGAUCUAGGCUCUGUAACUUUCUUAGGAAGUGCACCACCCAAAAUGGAACUGAGGAGUCCUGUGAGCUAGGGACGGUCUCACCUCCCAGGCCUGGCAUCUCUGGACACAAUCCGAAGUGAAAUUUGUUGAGGUGGUAGCACCGGCUGCCUUGAUUUGGUUGAGCUCAGCAGAUGCGGGAUCAAAUGGUCUGGGUCAAGAGAAGCACGAAGGAAAACAGCCAUGCCCCAGAGGGUCCGAGACUGGGAGAAAAUCGGUUUUUGACAAGUGAUUAAGUUUCCCUUCCUAGUAAUCUAGAGUCUCUAGAGUAUUUUUUGAUUUAGUUGUGGUAAGGAUGUUUGUAGGAGCGUAGCCAUUUCUGUGCGGCUGUUCCACUUGUCGACUAAGUAUGAAGUUACAAUUGCCAUUGGCUCAUUCCUUUCUUCCUUUUUUUUUUUUUCUCCCCCUCCAGGGUUAUUGCUGGGGCUCAUUGUUGGGAUUACAAAUUCACCACUCCUGGCGGCCAUUUUUUCCAUUAUUUUCAUUGGAUAGGACAGAGAAAUUGAGAAGGGGAUAGGGGGAGAGAAAGAUAAAUCCUUGCAGACCUGCUUCACCACUUGUGAAGCGUCCCUACUGCAGAUGGGGAGCGGGGGCAGGGUCUUGAACCCCGAUCCUUGCGAGGGUCUUUGUGCUUAGUACUGUAAGUGUGCUUAACUGGAUGGCCACCCUCUGGACCCCCAUCUUUUUCUUCCUAUCAUUAUUUUUUAGAUAGAUAGGCAGUGUGUGUGUGUGUGUGUGUGUGUGUGUGUGUGUGUGUGUGUGUGUGUGUGUGAGAGAGAGAGAGAGAGGGAGAGAGGGAUCAUAGCGCUGGCGCUUCAGUGCAGUAGGGGCCAGGCUAGAGACAGCCUAGGUCAUACACAUAGCCAAGUAGCACAUGAGCCACACGAGCCCUUUGGAUGACACUUUGUUCCUUUCUUCCUCCCCUCUUGUCUUCAUUGUUCUGGGUCAACUUUCUCAGCUAGAGAGAGGCGAAGACUCACAGAGGGAAAGGCACCACAGGAUCGAAGCGCCCCCCAGCACAGUGGGGUCUGGGUUCAAAGCAGGUUGCACACGUGACAAAUAGGCACCCUCCCGGGCGAGCUGUCUGGCUCUGACAGCAUCAGGGGAGGUGUUCCGAGGGGCAGCGGCUAGAGCUGGGCAACAGAUGUGUGUUUAAGCUCCUUCCUUGGACCUACUGCAGAUCUGGAAGCCCUGAUGAUUGGCUUUACCAGUCUGGAAGGAGGAUGGAAGGCCCUGGAAGUAGGCUCAACUAGAAAGCACGUGUAUCUGCAUGCACGCAGUGGUCCUCUUCUCAGAAAGACCUGGCCCGGAUGAGUCUACAGAGCUGGCCCGGCCCUUUCUCUGGUACCGCUUUGUGUAUAAGCUCUGUUGACCAGAAGCGCUAGGCUCAGUAGUGGAGCGCAGGACUCAGUGCAAAGAAGUUCGAUCCCAGCACUGCAUCUGUUAGGGCUCCAGGACGACAUGAUUCCACCACUUCUGGUGAACUACUUUUUCCAGACAGAGGCUGAGAGACUUAAAGAGUAAGAGACAGAGGAGGAGAGACACCACAGUACUGACUCACUGCUCUUGAAGUUUCCCCUGCGGUGGUGCUCCCCCCAUGUGGCUGGAACCCAGGUUCUUGUGUGUGGUAAGGUGUGCACUGUACCAAGUGAGCUGUCCCUUGCCCCCAAUAUUCCUUUUAAAAACUUAGGUAUUGGGACGGAGCGAGCGAUGGCAGAAUGGUUCUGCAAAAGACUUUCAUGCCUAGACUCUAAGGUCCCAGGUUCAAUCCCCAGCACCACCAUCAGCCAGAGCUGAGCAGGGCUGUGGUGUCUUUCUCUCUGUAUCUCUCAUUAAAACUAAAAACUGAAGGUAUUGCAGGGCCACCCUGCAGAUGGGAGUCUUCCUGACUGGGGCACUAGAUGCGGGGGCCAAGCCGUUUGUUCUUUAGGGAGAACUCGGGGGACUUGUAGUUCCCACUUGGUUGCAUGGCAAGAGCAGGUGUCCAUGUUCUGCCCCUCUUGAUGCGGGUCAUUUCUUGUUGGCUCAACACGGAAGAUGAUCUCAACUAGUCUUUGGACUUUUCAGAGAAAUGCUCCAUGUGCAGUGUCUACUGGGAGAGGAGUGAGUGAGUCUGUGUGGACCAGAACCUUCAGGUAACUUUCUCUUGAAUUGAGGGGAUUAAUGGUUUACAGUAAAUACGUGGUGGAAUGGAGUUGAGAGCCCCGAAGGAAGCCCCCAUACCUAAGUUUUGACAAGGAGGCCUAGACUAUUACAUAGAGAAAGGGGAGUCUGUCCAACAAAUGAUGUCAGGAAAAAUUGGGUUGAAGCUGAACCACUGCAUCUCACCACACCCAAAAGUCAACUCCAAAUGGAUCAAGGACCUGGAUGGUAGACCAGAAACUCUCAGAUACCUCGAGGAAAACACUGACAGUACUCUUUUUCCAGAUAAGAUUUAGAUGGUGUCUUCAGUGACAUGAGCCCAAGCGUAAGGAGGACAAAACAAAAACAAACCAAUGGGACUACAUCAAAUUGAAUAGCUCUGCACAGCACCAUCGGGCUCCUUUCAGCAUGGGAGAAGAUCUUUACAUGCCAUACGUCAGGUGGCACAGAUGACGGUCACUGACGCCAUGAUGUAGACACUGUGUACUUAGGGAGGGAGCUAGCUACGCAGUGUGGUGAGCUGCAGGGCAGCUGGGAUCCAGGCUUGAGAGGAAGGUGAUUAAGUGCACUUCAGUGGCCCCCGAGCAAACACUGCCUGAAGGAGCAUGUCCACAGGAGAGGCUGUUACCUCACUGGUGUUGCAGAUGUUCUCAAGAGCAGAGCCGCAUAUCCUUCCUGGGAAAGCAUUCCAAGGGACGAUGCCUGCAGAGGGAGGUGCCAGACCAGUAAAUGUAUGAAUUACAAGCGGCAGGACAGCCUCCCUCAUAAAACAUCACGCCGAGCUGAAAUACACUUCAACAUGAAUUUCCAGGGCCGUGACACUCCAGCUGUGCCCUGUUGUCAGAUAAGUUCCAAGAUGGAGUGGAAAUUAUUUCUCAUGGCAAUUUGUGAUUCUGGAACACACUCCACCAAUCCGGGUUUGUCACUAAGUAAACGACUCUGGAGUGGGGGGGAGCGGGGUUCAAGUCCUGGAACAUGGCAGAGGGACUACUAGGGGUUGUAUUGUUAUAUGGAAAACUGGGAAAUGUAUUUAUGUACAAACUUGUAUUUACUGUCGGCUGUAAGACAUUAAUCCUCCAAUGAAAAAACAUCUGGGUUUGUAUUUUCA